CUAUUCAUGAAAUUUGUUGCCCUUGAACUGGCUUCCCUGCGAGAAAGGAGGAGGACAAGGAGGGGAAGUGGAACAGGAGGAGGAGGAGCCAGAGAGAGCCAGGCUAGGGUCCAGGUGAGAAAAGCGAGGCUCCCAUUAGCAAGCUCGCGCAGGAUGGAUCACGGAGACAGCGGUGAGGAUUCAAAGCAGGUGGUCAGGCCUGAAGGCUUGCCUGUCUAACCUCAGAUGUGUAGUGUGAAGCUCGCGGCUCCUGGAUGGGUCUGGAGCCCCUUGCAAUGCCCAGCACGCACUGGUGCUGUUGCAAAGUCCAGAGACGCCUGCUCUGGCCAGCAACAGUCCUCUGUCUUCAGGAGGUCCAGGGCGAUGGUCACAACCCAGCUUUAGAGCCAGCGGCCUGGACUUGAAUUGCAAUGCUCUCAUUUGUCCUCCACAGGGAGCUUGUCUCCUCUGCCUUG